GCAGAAUGGAUAGGUGAAUGUGCCAAAGCAGAAUGGAUAGGUGAAUGUACCAUAGCAGAAUGGAUAGGUGAAUGUGCCAAAGCAGAAUGGAUAGGUGAAUGUACCAUAGCAGAAUGGAUAGGUGAAUGUGCCAAAGCAGAAUGGAUAGGGGAAUGUACCAUAGCAGAAUGGAUAGGUGAAUGUGCCAAAGCAGAAUGGAUAGGUGAAUGUGCCAAAGCAGAAUGGAUAGGUGAAUGUACCAAAGCAGAAUGGAUAGGGGAAUGUACCAAAGCAGAAUGGAUAGGUGAAUGUGCCAAAGCAGAAUGGAUAGGGGAAUGUGCCAAAGCAGAAUGGAUAGGUGAAUGUGCCAAAGCAGAAUGGAUAUGUGAAUGUACCAAAGCAGAAUGGAUGGGUGAAUGUGCCAAAGCAGAAUGGAUAGGUGAAUGUGCCAAAGCAGAAUGAAUAGGUGAAUGUACCAAAGCAGAAUGGAUAGGUGAAUGUACCAUAGCAGAAUGGAUAGGUGAAUGUGCCAAAGCAGAAUGGAUAGGGCAAUGUGCCAAAGCAGAAUGGAUAGGUGAAUGUGCCAAAGCAGAAUGGAUAGGUGAAUGUACCAUAGCAGAAUGGAUAGGUGAAUGUGCCAAAGCAGAAUGGAUAGGUGAAUGUACCAUAGCAGAAUGGAUAGGUGAAUGUGCCAAAGCAGAAUGGAUAGGUGAAUGUACCAUAG